rnacentral:rRNA from 1 species
UACGAAGGGUGCAAACGUUGCUCGGAAUCAUUGGGCGUAAAGCGCACGUAGGCGGCCUCAUAAGUCGGAUGUGAAAUCCCUCGGCUCAACCGAGGACGUGCAUCCGAAACUGUGAAGCUCGAGUAUGGAAGAGGGUCGCGGAAUUCCCGGUGUAGAGGUGAAAUUCGUAGAUAUCGGGAGGAACACCAGUGGCGAAGGCGGCGACCUGGGCCAAUACUGACGCUGAGGUGCGAAAGCGUGGGGAGCGAACAGG